rnacentral:rRNA from 1 species
CCCUUAGAUGUUCUGGGCCGCACGCGUGCUACACUGAGUAAAUCAAUGGGUAAGGGAACACGAAAGUGCAACCUAAUCUUGAAAUUUGCUCGUGAUGGGGAUCGACGGUUGCAAUUUUCCGUCGUGAACGAGGAAUACCUUGUAGGCGCGUGUCAUCAUCACGCGCCGAAUACGUCCCUGUCCUUUGUACACACCGCCCGUCGCUCCUACCGAUUGAGUGAUCCGGUGAGGCUCUGGGACCUGGACGGAAAGAGCGUUUCGCUUGUUCUGUUUGGGAAACUUGGUCGAACCUUAUCAUUUAGAGGAAGGAGAAGUCGUAACA